GGUUAGUUAGGUUAAUAUAAACCAUAUAAUUUGCUUUUAUAAAAUAAUAGUUAACCA
rnacentral:tRNA from 1 species